CAGCUUUGGAGAGAGAUUCAUUGUAAAGCAUUCUCAUCGCAACUCUGUUUGCAGAGAUGGAGUACACAGUAAGAGUACCAAAGUCACUCAAAAAGAAGUACAAUGUGAUGCGAUUCCACACAGCCUUGGGGGUCGACUUCAAGUCAUGGAAUCACACCAAGAUGGAAAGAGAGAACAACAUGAAGGAGUUCAAGAGCUUGGAUGAUGAGAUGCCCAAGUAAGAAAGAAUGUUCAAGGGUUCAGCCC